AGUGAACGCUGGCGGUAGGCCUAACACAUGCAUGUCGAACGGCAGCACAGUAAGAGCUUGCUCUUACGGGUGGCGAGUGGCGGACGGGUGAGGAAUACAUCGGAAUCUACUUUUUUGUGGGGGAUAACGUAGGGAAACUUACGCUAAUACCGCAUACGACCUACGGGUGAAAGCAGGGGAUCUUCGGACCUUGCGCGAUUGAAUGAGCCGAUGUCGGAUUAGCUAGUUGGCGGGGUAAAGGCCCACCAAGGCGACGAUCCGUAGCUGGUCUGAGAGGAUGAUCAGCCACACUGGAACUGAGACACGGUCCAGACUCCUACGGGAGGCAGCAGUGGGGAAUAUUGGACAAUGGGCGCAAGCCUGAUCCAGCCAUACCGCGUGGGUGAAGAAGGCCUUCGGGUUGUAAAGCCCUUUUGUUGGGAAAGAAAAGCAGCAGGUUAAUACCCCGCUGUUCUGACGGUACCCAAAGAAUAAGCACCGGCUAACUUCGUG
rnacentral:rRNA from 1 species